UGAUGUGGUGUUGUAACAAGUGAAGACAUUUCUUAAUACAUCUUUCGUUUGUUUCUUGUUAGACUUCCAUGAUACAUGGGCCAUCUUGGAUGCUCGAGUGAAAGAUACUUUUGAUCUAAAGAAAACCAUUCAAGAGCUCCACCAAACAUUGCUGGGAAUCAUUCUGAGAGGGGGAUAUUGAGCUCGGUUAUGUACUUGUUGGGCACAAGGUUGUAAGAAAAAUAUAAAAUACAGAAAAUGAGGGACCUUGAUGUGAUCUUGAGACCCCAGAACUGCUAUUAAUUUUUCAUUGCUUUUGUAAUUAUACAUGCGUUUUGCUUAGUUAGUGAAUUUCGGCUGGAUAGGAGGUUGAAGGGUUUUUUGUUACUGAAAAAACCUGGAAAGUUUUGUAUAAGGAUUAAUGUAUAAAAUAAUUAUACCAAAAAUUGUCACUAAUUACUGUUUAAUUUAUCUU